rnacentral:rRNA from 1 species
AGUGAACGCUGGCGGUAGGCCUAACACAUGCAAGUCGAACGGCAGCACAGUAAGAUCUUGCUCUUACGGGUGGCGAGUGGCGGACGGGUGAGGAAUACAUCGGAAUCUACUUUUUCGUGGGGGAUAACGUAGGGAAACUUACGCUAAUACCGCAUACGACCUACGGGUGAAAGCAGGGGAUCUUCGGACCUUGCGCGAUUGAAUGAGCCGAUGUCGGAUUAGCUAGUUUGCGGGGUAAAGGCCCACCAAGGCGACGAUCCGUAGCUGGUCUGAGAGGAUGAUCAGCCACACUGGAACUGAGACACGGUCCAGACUCCUACGGGAGGCAGCAGUGGGGAAUAUUAGGCAAUGGGCGCAAGCCUGAUCCAGCCAGACCGCGUGGGUGAAGAAGGCCUUCGGGUUGUAAAGCCCUUUUGUUGGGAAAGAAAAGCAGCAGGUUAAGACCCCGCUGUUCUGACGGUACCCAAAGAAUAAGCACCGGCUAACUACGUG